rnacentral:rRNA from 1 species
GGGGAAUCUUCCGCAAUGGACGAAAGUCUUACGGAGCAACGCCGCGUGAGUGAUGACGGCCUUCGGGUUGUAAAGCUCUGUGAUCGGCGACGCAUGGGUGGUGCGUUAAUACUGCACGAGAGUGACGGUACCCGGAUAGCAAGCCACGGCGGACCACGCUCCAGCAGCCGCGGUAAUACGAGGUGGCAAGCGUUGUACGGAAUUAUUGGGCGUAAAGCGCGCGCAGGCGGCUUCUUAAGCCAUCUUAAAAGUGCGGGGCUUAACCCCGUGAUGGGAUGGAAACUGGGAGGCUGGAGUAUCGGAGAGGAAAGUGGAAUUCCUAGUGUAGCGGUGAAAUGCGUAGAGAUUAGGAAGAACACCGGUGGCGAAGGCGACUUUCUGGACGACAACUGACGCUGAGGCGCGAAAGCGUGGGGAGCAAACA